rnacentral:rRNA from 1 species
CGAACGAAGCACUUUAUUUGAUUUCCUUCGGGAGCUGAUUAUUUUGUGACUGAGUGGCGGACGGGUGAGUAACGCGUGGGUAACCUGCCUUGUACAGGGGGAUAACAGUUGGAAACGGCUGCUAAUACCGCAUAAGCGCACAGCAUCGCAUGAUGCAGUGUGAAAAACUCCGGUGGUAUAAGAUGGACCCGCGUUGGAUUAGCUAGUUGGUGAGGUAACGGCCCACCAAGGCGACGAUCCAUAGCCGACCUGAGAGGGUGACCGGCCACAUUGGGACUGAGACACGGCCCAAACUCCUACGGGAGGCAGCAGUGGGGAAUAUUGCACAAUGCGCGAAAGCCUGAUGCAGCGAC